AUUGAACGCUGGCGGCAGGCCUAACACAUGCAAGUCGAGCGAGCGGCGGACGGGUGAUUAAUGUCUGGGAAACUGCCUGAUGGAGGGGGAUAACUACUGGAAACGGUAGCUAAUACCGCAUACCAUCAGAUGUGCCCAGAUGGGAUGAGCUAGUAGGUGGGGUAACGGCUCACCUAGGCGCCGAUCCCUAGCUGGUCUGAGAGGAUGACCAGCCACACUGGAACUGAUACACGGUACAGACUCGUACGGGAGGAAGAAGUGGGGAAUAGUGGACAAUGGGAGAAAGCCUGAUGCAGACAUGCCGCGUGUGUGAAGAAGGCCUUCGGGUUGUAAAGCACUUUCAGCGGGGAGGCGUUACCCGCAGAAGAAGCACCGGAUAACUCCGUGCCAGCCGCCGCGGUAAUGC
rnacentral:rRNA from 1 species